AGGGCAAAUGUAUUUUUGUGUAUUUUAUUUAGAGGGGAAACUACUCCCAAAAGUUGAAACAUGAUAAAAUAUGAUUUUACAAAUUUUCUGGAAUUUAUUUGGACCGAUUUGGAGUUCAAAAUCAAAAGAUAUCAAAGAAAUGAGAAAAAGGGCAAAAAGAAAAGGCAAAAAGAAAAAAUAAAAGGGGAAAUGGACUGGCC
rnacentral:lncRNA from 1 species